rnacentral:rRNA from 1 species
AUUGAACGCUGGCGGCAGGCCUAACACAUGCAAGUCGAACGAGUGGCGGACGGGUGAGUAAUGUCUGGGAAACUGCCUGAUGGAGGGGGAUAACUACUGGAAACGGUAGCUAAUACCGCAUACCAUGGGUGUGGCCCGAAUGGGAUUAGCUAGUAGGGGGGGUAAUGGCUCACCUAGGCGACGAUCCCUAGCUGGUCUGAGAGGAUGACCAGCCACACUGGAACUGAGACACGGUCCAGACUCCUACGGGAGGCAGCAGUGGGGAAUAUUGCACAAUGGGCGCAAGCCUGAUGCAGCCAUGCCGCGUGUAUGAAGAAGGCCUUCGGGUUGUAAAGUACUUUCAGCGGGGAGGCGUUACCCGCAGAAGAAGCACCGGCUAACUCCGUGCCAGCAGCCGCGGUAAUUC